CCCUGUGAUGGCCACAAGGGCUCAGCAGAGGGACCCCGCUCCCUCAAGCCCCUCCCAGGUCAGAAGGAAAGAAUCCACAGGGUCCCUUCCUUUCCCACCGCGCAGUCCACUCACUUGUUGAUCAGCUCCUUUGCCUGCUGCAGGGGAGAAAAGGAGGGCCAAGGCCCGCCUCCCUCCCUCUCCGCCAACCUGGAGGUAGAGAGCCAUCUGCGGCUCCUCCAUGGACUGGAUGGCGGACUCCACCAGCUUUGAGGAGCCCUCCAAGUGGUCUCCGUACUGGCGGAUGAGGCCCCGCACGCGCUGCAACUUCUCCUCCUGCUCCCGGGCCAGUGCUUGAAGCAGUUCGCCCUUGCGCUCCUCCAAAACCGCGCACAGGGUCUCGAACCUCUGGUUUAACAGUUGCUUCUGUCUGCGGCUGUUGUCCUGAAAGACCACAGCAGUAUGAUCUCGCCUACGCAUGCCCAGAGCUCGAGAGCACGAAAUUUUAGUCCUCGCCCCACUUUAAAAAAAGCCGAGAAGGAAAGUGACCUGGCUAGGGUCACACCCUGAGUUGGGGACACAGAACCCAGCUCAGAUGUUUUCAGUUCACAGUGAUGACAAGAAUGACAAAGAAUUUCAAAGUUGUUUCCCUGCUGGCCCUGGCUCUGCCUUGCACUAAUUCCCACUUCCUUGUUAAGAAAAUUAAAUCAGUGGCUACUGUGUGACUACCA